UACGGGGGGGCAAGCGUUGUUCGGAAUUACUGGGCGUAAAGGGCGCGUAGGCGGGAUGGCAAGUCGGUCGUGAAAUCCUUCGGCUCAACCGAAGAACGUCGAUCGAUACUGCUGUUCUUGAGGGUUGCAGAGGAGACUGGAAUUCCUGGUGUAGCGGUGAAAUGCGCAGAUAUCAGGAGGAACACCGAUGGCGAAGGCAGGUCUCUGGGCCACUACUGACGCUGAGAAGCGAAAGCAUGGGGAGCGAACAGG
rnacentral:rRNA from 1 species